AACGAACGCUGGCGGCAGGCUUAACACAUGCAAGUCGAGCGCCCCGCAAGGGGAGCGGCAGACGGGUGAGUAACGCGUGGGAAUCUACCCUUUUCUACGGAAUAACGCAGGGAAACUUGUGCUAAUACCGUAUAAGCCCUUCGGGGGAAAGAUUUAUCGGGAAAGGAUGAGCCCGCGUUGGAUUAGCUAGUUGGUGGGGU
rnacentral:rRNA from 1 species